CUUGUAAUUGGUAGCGUGUGCUUUGUGAAAGCUUUCAUUUAUGAUGCAAAACAAAGUACAGUACUCUACAUUGCAGAGAGGUGAGAAUGUGUGAAAUAUGUGUAUAAAGACACAGUUAGUUACUAUUAAGGUUCCUUUUUUUUUCUUACUCUGUGUGUGGGAACCCACUAUCUACUCAUUGAUGUUAAAGCUACCCGUUCUCUUUAACAUUCUGUUGCCUUGACCUCCCUUCUACUCUUGACAACCAUGCCCAUAUUUAACUCGCUUAAACUGACCCUGGUGCAUAUUGUAGUCUCUGUAUGUUGUAUGUUGUAUGCUAUGUUGUCCCCGAGAGCACUGAACACACAGGUCUUUAGAGUAGGAUGGAUUAUGGAGUGCAACUGUGCAUAUUAACCACACAUCUGCAGAAUAUAUGAAAAUUACACUUACAAGCACUGUAGCAUUGUUCUUGUGGAUGAUUAUGAGACACAUAGCACUGCUCUUGAUAUAAAUGCUUGUAAUAUGAAUUAAUUUUACCCACAAAAACUACAUGUCCUAUUUAAAACACACCAACCCUGUGGUUUUGUAGAAACAGCUACAGUAUUGAUUUAGCUAUUGACAACAUGCUGUUAGUCCAUAUAGUCAAUGAUCUGAUAAUGAACUCCUGGCUCUGUGUGAGUAGAGGAUGCUGUGUGUGAUAAACUUAAAAAGUUGACAGUUCACCCUGCACAUUGUGACAGGAGGAACAGAGAGGAUGCCAGCCUGCUGCCAACUCUGUCCACUCCAGUUUAAGUCUCACACCAGUGCAAAACAAAAAGCAUGACGCUGCUCAGGUGUGGGACCAUAACUGUGGGAGACUCUAUCUGCAGAAUCCUCUGGGAUGGCAGCCUCCAGAAAGCACAAAAGAAGACCAAGCUGUAGAUUCAGUCAUUUUCCGUUGCAAGGUCUAUUUGAACAGAAAGAGGAAAGAAUUUGUUGCACACCACGGUCAUCUACUGAGACAAGGUAA